CUUCACCAAGGUAAUGAAAGUCGAAGGAGCGUCAAUAGAGCUAGAGAGGGGCUAUGUGCAAAUAUUAUGUUGGACAUUUUACAAAUCCCUGGGAGCAUCAAACUAGGCCUAUAUCUAUACUAAUAAAAAAGUAAUAAUAUAGCAGUGUUGAACCCCACCGUACAGGAGCGACACAAAAUAUUGAAUUCUACUUCGAAUGCUGGAGGGAACUAUAUGCUUAAAUGUUUCCAGUGACGGGUGCAUAUGAUGUCAACCAGAUCUUCACCACAUACACUGACCCAGCACCCAACAGUACCAGCCUGGUAACACACCUCAUAGUCCCCCAGUCACAGCAGCCAUCGGAGACAGACACAUCAUCCCCGGGGCUAUGAGCAGACUGAUGGGCAGCAGCCGCAGAUCGAGUACCAGUAUGCCUGCAUCAAUGAUCCGAGUCAGAGCACUGCCAAUGGGGAAGUUGUCCUUAUUGAAAUACCAGAUGAAGGAAGCAAAGAGGAUUUGGAGGACGAGACUUGCUACACAGAGCACAACUUGUCGCUGCUGCUGCAGGAGAAGGAAAGUCUGGAGAAGACUCUUGAGGAGGAGCGGACCACGUGGGCCCAGACAGAGCACAGAAUGAAAGGUUGAGUAUUUGUCCAACACAAACAUGUCACUCAAGCAGCAGCUGUCCAUGAUGCACACGUCCAGUUUGAAACGUCUGACCAACGACA
rnacentral:misc_RNA from 1 species